UACGAAGGGGGCUAGCGUUGCUCGGAAUCACUGGGCGUAAAGCGCACGUAGGCGGCUUCUUAAGUCAGGGGUGAAAUCCUGGAGCUCAACUCCAGAACUGCCUUUGAUACUGGGGAUCUCGAGUCCGGAAGAGGUGAGUGGAACUCCGGAGUGUAGAGGUGAAAUUCGUAGAUAUUCGGAAGAACACCAGUGGCGAAGGCGGCUCACUGGCCGGUACUGACGCUGAGGUGCGAAAGCGUGGGGAGCAAACAGGAUAGAUAC
rnacentral:rRNA from 1 species